rnacentral:rRNA from 1 species
CAGUCGCCGCGGGAAAACGUAGGUGGCAAGCGUUGUCCGGAAUUAUUGGGCGUAAUGGGUGCGUAGGCGGUUUCGUAAGUCUUAUGUGAAAUCUAUGGGCUCAACCCAUAGUCUGCAUGGGAAACUGCGAGGCUUGAGGAUGGGAGAGGUGAGUGGAAUUUCCGGUGUAGCGGUGAAAUGCGUAGAUAUCGGAAGGAACACCUGUGGCGAAAGCGGCUCACUGGACCAUUUCUGACGCUGAUGCACGAAAGCUAGGGGAGCAAACAGGAUUAGAUACCCCAGUAGUCCCUGUCUCUUAUAU